GACGAACGCUGGCGGCGUGCUUAAUACAUGCAAGUCGAACGGACAGGCGCUGAUCUUGCGUGGUGCUCGUUAGGCGAACGGGUGAGUAACACGUGUGUAACCCCUCCCUGUCUUUGGGGUAAAUUCAGGGAACUCGGGCUAAAAUCGCAUAGGAUCUCUUGCUGCGUGGUGGUGGUUGGAAAGUUACGGCGGUUGUGGAUGGACUCGCGGCUUAUCAGCUUCAUGGUGAGGUAGGUGCUUACAAAGUCUUUGACGGGUAGCCGGCCUGAGAGGGUGACCGGCGACAUUGGGACUGAGAUACGGCGCAGACGCCAACGGGAGGCAGCAGUGGGGAAUAUUGCGCAAUGGGCGGAAGCGUGAUGCAGCAACGCCGCGUGCGGGAUGACGGCCUUCGGGUUGUAAACCGCUUUCGCAUGUGACGAAGCGUGAGUGACGGUAAUGAGUAAAGAAGCACCGGCUAACUACGUG
rnacentral:rRNA from 1 species